GAUGAACGCUGGCGGCGUGCUUAACACAUGCGAGUCGAACGAAGCACUUAAGAUUGAUUCUUCGGAUGACGUCUUUUGUGACUUAGUGGCGGACGGGUGAGUAACGCGUGGGUAACCUGCCUCACACAGGGGGAUAACAGUUAGAAAUGACUGCUAAUACCGCAUAACCCGAUAGGAUCGCAUGAUCCAGACGGAAAAGAUUUAUCGGUGUGAGAUGGACCCGCGUCUGAUUAGCUAGUUGGUGAGGUAACGGCCCACCAAGGCGACGAUCAGUAGCCGGCCUGAGAGGGUGAACGGCCACAUUGGGACUGAGACACGGCCCAAACUCCUACGGGAGGCAGCAGUGGGGAAUAUUGCACAAUGGGGGAAACCCUGAUGCAGCGACGCCGCGUGAGUGAAGAAGUAUUUCGGUAUGUAAAGCUCUAUCAGCAGGGAAGAAAAUGACGGUACCUGACUAAGAAGCCCCGGCUAACUACGUG
rnacentral:rRNA from 1 species